rnacentral:rRNA from 1 species
UACGGAGGGUGCAAGCGUUGUUCGGAAUGACUGGGCGUAAAGCGCACGUAGGCGGGUCUGUAGGUCAGCUGUGAAAUCCCAGGGCUUAACCCUGGAAUGGCGGUUGAAACCAUAGAUCUUGAAUACCCAAGAGAGUGGCGGAAUUCCGGGUGUAGUAGUGAAAUACGUAGAUAUCCGGAGGAACACCAGAGGCGAAGGCGGCUACUUGGUGGUGUAUUGACGCUGAGGUGCGAAAGCGUGGGGAGCAAACAGG